GUCGCUUACCAAUGACGUCACGCGUUGUGAUUGGCUGCACGGUAAUCGCACGCUGAUUGGUGUAACUAGGGGCGCUGACUAGGGUAUACCGGGGGAUCACGGGUCACAACCUUUAGAUAUACUGUCUAUG